rnacentral:rRNA from 1 species
GGGCAUAUGGCGGCAGCUACACAUGCAGUCGAGCGGAUGAGAAGAGCUUGCUCUUCGAUUCAGCGGCGGACGGGUGAGAAAUGCCUAGGAAUCUGCCUGGUAGUGGGGGACAACGUUUCGAAAGGAACGCUAAUACCGCAUACGUCCUACGGGAGAAAGCAGGGGACCUUCGGGCCUUGCGCUAUCAGAUGAGCCUAGGUCGGAUUAGCUAGUUGGUGGGGUAAUGGCUCACCAAGGCGACGAUCCGUAACUGGUCUGAGAGGAUGAUCAGUCACACUGGAACUGAGACACGGUCCAGACUCCUACGGGAGGCAGCAGUGGGGAAUAUUGGACAAUGGGCGAAAGCCUGAUCCAGCCAUGCCGCGUGUGUGAAGAAGGUCUUCGGAUUGUAAAGCACUUUAAGUUGGGAGGAAGGGCAGUAAGCGAAUACCUUGCUGUUUUGACGUUACCGACAGAAUAAGCACCGGCUAACUCUGUGCCAGCAGCCGCGGUAAUACAGAGGGUGCCAGCGUUAAU